rnacentral:rRNA from 1 species
GAAAUCCGGACUAAUACCCCAUAAUAUGGGCGCUCCGCAUGGAGAGUUCAUUAAAGAAAGCAAUUUUGGUUACAGACGAGCAUGCGCUCCAUUAGCCAGUUGGCGGGGUAACGGCCCACCAAGGCGACGAUGGAUAGGGGUUCUGAGAGGAAGGUCCCCCACAUUGGAACUGAGACACGGUCCAAACUCCUACGGGAGGCAGCAGUGAGGAAUAUUGGUCAAUGGUCGGCAGACUGAACCAGCCAAGUCGCGUGAGGGAAGACGGCCCUACGGGUUGUAAACCUCUUUUGUCGGAGAGUAAAGUACGCUACGCGUAGCGUAUUGCAAGUAUCCGAAGAAAAAGCAUCGGCUAACUCCGUGCCAGCAGCCGCGGUAAUACGGAGGAUGCGAGCGUUAUCCGGAUUUAUUGGGUUUAAAGGGUGCGUAGGCGGCACGCCAAGUCAGCGGUGAAAUUUCCGGGCUCAACCCGGAAUGUGCCGUUGAAACUGGUGAGCUAGAGUGCACAAGAGGCAGGCGGAAUGCGUGGUGUAGCGGUGAAAUGCAUAGAUAUCACGCAGAACCCCGAUUGCGAAGGCAGCCUGCUAGGGUGCGACAGACGCUGAGGCACGAAAGCGUGGGUAUCGAACAGGAUUAGAUGCCCUGGUAGUCCACGCAGUAAACGAUGAAUACUAACUGUUUGCGAUACAAUGUAAGCGGU